rnacentral:rRNA from 1 species
AAUAGAUACCCUGGUAGUCCACGCCGUAAACGAUGGGUGCUAGGUGUGGGGGGUGUCGACUCCCUCCGUGCCGAAGCUAACGCAUUAAGCACCCCGCCUGGGGAGUACGGCCGCAAGGCUGAAACUCAAAGGAAUUGACGGGGGGCCCGCACAAGCGGUGGAGCACGUGGUUUAAUUCGACGCAACGCGAAGAACCUUACCUGGGCUCGAAAUGCAGACGACAUCCGGCGAAAGUCGGCUCCCGCAAGGGCGUCUGUAUAGGUGCUGCAUGGCUGUCGUCAGCUCGUGUCGUGAGAUGUUGGGUUAAGUCCCGCAACGAGCGCAACCCUCGUCCUCUGUUGCCAUCGGGUCAAGCCGGGGCACUCUGAGGAGACUGCCGGUGAUAAACCGGAGGAAGGUGGGGAUGACGUCAAGUCAGCAUGGCCUUUAUGUCCAGGGCCACACACGUGCUACAAUGGCGGAUACAAAGCGUCGCAAACUCGCAAGAGUGAGCUAAUCGCAGAAAGUCCGUCUCAGUUCGGAUUGUAGG